rnacentral:rRNA from 1 species
AGAGCGAACGCUGGCGGCAGGCCUAACACAUGCAAGUCGAACGGACUCUUCGGAGUUAGUGGCGGACGGGUGAGUAACACGUGGGAACGUGCCUUUUGGUUCGGAAUAGCUCCUGGAAACGGGUGGUAAUGCCGAAUGUGCCCUUCGGGGGAAAGAUUUAUCGCCAUUAGAGCGGCCCGCGUCUGAUUAGCUAGUUGGUGAGGUAAAGGCUCACCAAGGCGACGAUCAGUAGCUGGUCUGAGAGGAUGACCAGCCACAUUGGGACUGAGACACGGCCCAAACUCCUACGGGAGGCAGCAGUGGGGAAUCUUGCGCAAUGGGCGAAAGCCUGACGCAGCCAUGCCGCGUGAAUGAUGAAGGUCUAGGAUUAGUAAAAUUCUUUCACCGGGGACGAUAAUGACGGUACCCGGAAGAAGAAGCCCGGACUAACUCGUGCCAGCAGCCGAC